GGUUAAGCGACUAAGCGUACACGGUGGAUGCCCUGGCAGUCAGAGGCGAUGAAGGGCGUGCUAAUCUGCGAUAAGCGCCGGUAAGGUGAUAUGAACCGUUAUAACCGGCGAUACCCGAAUGGGGAAACCCAGUGUGAUUCGUCACACUAUCAUUAACUGAAUCCAUAGGUUAAUGAGGCGAACCGGGGGAACUGAAACAUCUAAGUACCCCGAGGAAAAGAAAUCAACCGAGAUUCCCCCAGUAGCGGCGAGCGAACGGGGAGGAGCCCAGAGCCUGAAUCAGCAUGUGUGUUAGUGGAAGCGUCUGGAAAGGCGCGCGAUACAGGGUGACAGCCCCGUACACAAAAGCGCAUGUGCUGUGAGCUCGAUGAGUAGGGCGGGACACGUGGUAUCCUGUCUGAAUAUGGGGGGACCAUCCUCCAAGGCUAAAUACUCCUGACUGACCGAUAGUGAACCAGUACCGUGAGGGAAAGGCGAAAAGAACCCCGGCGAGGGGAGUGAAAAAGAACCUGAAACCGUGUACGUACAAGCAGUGGGAGCCCCACCACUAAGCCAGUGGUGAACUCCACAUACGCAUCCUUUGCUGAAGGCAAUGGUUAACGGAGCGAAAGCGACGUUCAACCGCAAAACAAGCAGAGGGGGCUUAGUGGUGGGGUGACUGCGUACCUUUUGUAUAAUGGGUCAGCGACUUAUAUUCUGUAGCAAGGUUAACCGUAUAGGGGAGCCGGAGGGAAACCGAGUCUUAAUUGGGCGUUAAGUUGCAGGGUAUAGACCCGAAACCCGGUGAUCUAGCCAUGGGC
rnacentral:rRNA from 1 species